GGUUGCGAUCAUACCAGCACUAAUGCACCGGAUCCCAUCAGAACUCCGCAGUUAAGCGUGCUUGGCCGAGAGUAGUACUAGGAUGGGUGACCCCCUGGAAGUCCUCGUGUUGUAGCCC
rnacentral:rRNA from 1 species